rnacentral:rRNA from 1 species
UCUUCCCUCUGGCGGCGUGCCUAAUACAUGCAAGUCGAGCGAACGGACGAGAAGCUUGCUUCUCUGAUGUUAGCGGCGGACGGGUGAGUAACACGUGGAUAACCUACCUAUAAGACUGGGAUAACUUCGGGAAACCGGAGCUAAUACCGGAUAAUAUUUUGAACCGCAUGGUUCAAAAGUGAAAGACGGUCUUGCUGUCACUUAUAGAUGGAUCCGCGCUGCAUUAGCUAGUUGGUAAGGUAACGGCUUACCAAGGCAACGAUGCAUAGCCGACCUGAGAGGGUGAUCGGCCACACUGGAACUGAGACACGGUCCAGACUCCUACGGGAGGCAGCAGUAGGGAAUCUUCCGCAAUGGGCGAAAGCCUGACGGAGCAACGCCGCGUGAGUGAUGAAGGUCUUCGGAUCGUAAAACUCUGUUAUUAGGGAAGAAAAUAUGUGUAAGUAACUGUGCACAUCUUGACGGUACCUAAUCAGAAAGCCACGGCUAACUACGUG